GUUGACAGGUUUCCAUGUUGUCUGCUGUUGGAAGAACAUCUAUGAGGGACUGUGAAUAGAAUCUUUAUCUUCUGCUUAUAUACAACACUUACUCAUGGGCCAGUGGCACAAUUUCUAGCUGUACAAGGAUAUCAUGGUGUUUGAUAAGUUGAUGACAAUGAAACUAAUGACCAUGUUAACAUCAGAGGAAAAGCAAACUGGGAGAAGAAAGGACAACAUUGUUUUCGAUCUUGAAGGCCUGCGUAGACAUAGGACCAGGAAGGGGAGCUAGGAGUGGGAGAAGUGCCUGUGACUGAUAUAUGCACUAUCAGAUAGAAAUCCAGUUCAAAAGGAAAUCUGAAAUAGUGAAAUAGCAGAAAUCAUGACUUACAUACUGUGUAAUCUGCU